rnacentral:rRNA from 1 species
UACAGAGGUCUCAAGCGUUGUUCGGAUUCAUUGGGCGUAAAGGGUGCGUAGGUGGCGCGCUAAGUCAGGUGUGAAAUUUCGGAGCUUAACUCCGAAACUGCAUUUGAUACUGGCGUGCUUGAGGACUGGAGAGGAGACUGGAAUUCACGGUGUAGCAGUGAAAUGCGUAGAGAUCGUGAGGAAGACCAGUGGUGAAGGCGGGUCUCUGGACAGUUCCUGACACUGAGGCACGAAGGCCAGGGGAGCAAACGGG